rnacentral:rRNA from 1 species
UACGUAGGGGGCAAGCGUUGUCCGGAUUUAUUGGGCGUAAAGAGCGUGUAGGCGGCCAUGUAGGUCCGUUGUGAAAACUCGAGGCUCAACCUCGAGACGCCGAUGGAAACCAUGUGGCUAGAGUCCGGAAGAGGAGAGUGGAAUUCCUGGUGUAGCGGUGAAAUGCGCAGAUAUCAGGAAGAACACCCGUGGCUAAGGCGGCUCUCUAGUACGGUACUGACGCUGAGAGCGAAAGCGUGGGAGC